rnacentral:tRNA from 1 species
GGGACAAUAGCUCAUCUGGGAGAGCAAUUCGUUCGCAACGAAUAGGUAGCGGGUUCAAGUCCCGUUUGUUCCA